AGUGAACGCUGGCGGUAGGCCUAACACAUGCAAGUCGAACGGCAGCACAGUAAGAGCUUGCUCUUACGGGUGGCGAGUGGCGGACGGGUGAGGAAUACAUCGGAAUCUACUUUUUCGUGGGGGAUAACGUAGGGAAACUUACGCUAAUACCGCAUACGACCUACGGGUGAAAGCAGGGGAUCUUCGGACCUUGCGCGAAUGAAUGAGCCGAUGUCGGAUUAGCUCGUUGGCGGGGUAAAGGCCCACCAAGGCGACGAUCCGUAGCUGGUCUGAGAGGAUGAUCAGCCACACUGGAACUGAGACACGGUCCAGACUCCUACGGGAGGCAGCAGUGGGGAAUAUUGGACAAUGGGCGCAAGCCUGAUCCAGCCAUACCGCGUGGGUGAAGAAGGCCUUCGGGUUGUAAAGCCCUUUUGUUGGGAAAGAAAAGCAGCAGGUUAAUACCCCGCUGUUCUGACGGUACCCAAAGAAUAAGCACCGGCUAACUUCGUG
rnacentral:rRNA from 1 species